GGAAAAUAAAACAAAACGCAAUUAAAGAAAAAUAAAAUAAAAAUAAUUACAACCAAGUCAAAUUCAAUCAAUUCACACUACUAGAAAAAUAAACCUCGAGUCCUCUGCAACGGUGCCAAAAACUUGUUGACAAAUUGGCAAGUGUACCAAAUCGUACAAGUAAUAUAAAUGGUAAGACCAAGUAUCGUUUUCCCAAGAGACUCGAAUGGCUUUCUCGUUCGCGUGAAUUAAAAUAAUAAGACUUGAAAAUAAAAAUUAAUAAAUUGGAUUUGAGAACAAAAAUAUUAACAUGCAAANUANNGNUGAUUCAAUUGACAAAAGAAAACAAUGGAUGAAUGGAUGUUGUUGGGGGUUUACAAUUUCAUCUAUUCCGCUCUCUCUUACCUACUCCUCUUGAAUAUUAGUUUGAUUAAUUAAUUGUUAUGCGACUUUCUUAGCCUCCCCUUAACCUGAUCCCUCGGCGAAAAGAGCCUAAUAUUAACUACUGGCUUGCUAUCCCUAGCCUCCCCUAGCAACUAAUACC
rnacentral:lncRNA from 1 species